UUUCCGUAGGUGAACCUGCGGAAGGAUCAUUCAUGAAGGACAUGCUGGAAUCGAGAGUCAAUAAACCUCUUCCAAGUCAUUUUUCCUUUUUCGUGCACAUUUUUAACACAUUUUUUUUUCAACAACCAUUCAAAAACAAAACUAAACAAACAAAAAAACAAAACUCGUGGCGGUGGAUGUCUAGGUUCCGGUAACGAUGAAGAACGCAGCGAAAUGCGAUAUGUAAUGCGAAUUGCAGAACCCGUGAAUCAUCAAAUUUUUGAACGCAAGUGGCGCUCGUGGGCAAUCCUGCGAGCAUGUCUGUUUGAGUGUCCAAGGUGAAAACUAUUUGUUCCUUUUGAACGGCUGAUGGCCUGUUUGGGGAGCUGCUGAUGGGUGUUUGUCCUUGCAAGUGGUCUUUUUGACGUACGAGCGGGGUCACCUGAAGAGUAGAGUGUCGGGGGAGGGUUUGCGUCUUUGGGCCGAGCUUGUUCUGCUUCUUGUAAAAGGGAAUAUCGGGCUCCCACAGCGUUGUGAAGUAAUGAAAAUUAUGGGAAGCAAGGUUGUUGGGUUGCUGGUACCAGGAAUUGGGCAGUGAGUUUUUGUCUGGGAUUGCGGCUGGUUCACUGGUCUUGAACUAAUCUAACGAUUACAACACACAUAUUUGGAUCUCAAAUCAGACAAGACGACCCGCUGAAUUUAAG
rnacentral:rRNA from 1 species